CUACAAGAACAACAAAUGAACUUUGUACCAGUGACAAUCAUGAUAAUGAUGUUGAUGAUGUAGAGAAAGAUAAUGAUGAAGUAGCUGUUGUGAUCUUGAAUAGCAGCAGAUUGAUGUAUCAUCAAGAAACUGAUGCAAGAUCCCAGAGAAACUAAUGAAUGAAUGAAUGAAUGAUCACAGCGUGCUUUCGAUGAAAGAUCAUCAUCCUGAAAUUGAUGUAAAGCUAUCGAUUGAUCCCCUUGAUCACUUUGAGAAAGCUAUCAUAAAUUGAUCGUCGAAGAAUGAUCAUACUGAUCAAAACUGAUUUAAAGGAGUUGUUGCUCUUGUCCGAUGUCUCAAUGUCCAUGCCUGAUGGAUAAAUGAUCUCUAUAAAGUUUCAGCCAAUCAAGAGGCAUAAUUGCAAAAGAUAAAUAGAAAAAAGAAACUGUUCUGGAGUCCAAACAAAGGCAGAUAGAAAGGUGGGAAAAGCCGUUGUUGGUCUACUGAUAAGCCCUCUCCACUUUGGCGGCGUGCAUUGAACUAAUUUGUUCGUUGUUCUUCUUAUUGUUGCUGUUGUUGUUGACUGGUUUUCUUGGUAGGUUUGUAUUUUUUUUUUGUUUUUUUUUGUAUAAUACUCGUACCUCUCUGUAUAUUUAUUUAAAGCGCAAAUGUUUUAGAUACGACACAAAUGUUGCUGCGAGAGAGAGACGAGUGUCGGAGGCAGAGCGGGUAAAAAGAGAGCAGAGGCUAACAAAGUAAACUACAACAACUCCAACAACAAUUACAACAACGAGCAAAAGGCAAACUUGCCUAUCAGCCCCUGCUAAUGUUGUAGUCGUUGUUGUAGUAUUAUUCAGUGCGUGUGCUCAGCAUUUAACUAAACUGGCACACACGCACACCCAAACAGCACUCAGCAACACUCACCGACAUUCACCAACACUCAACACACAGCACACACUGAGGCACAGUCAGGGCCCGUCGGCAUGUGUGCUUAUAUAAUCGUCUAAUGGCUUUGUUUUUUUAAGAAACCGAAAUUACAAUUUCCGCUUGUCGCUUGCCGCUUGCCGCUGGCUGCCCUGGCUCGGGCUCUGGCCCCCACUCUCUUUCUCGCGCUGGGUAAGUGUUAAGCAUGUGACUCAAAAAUUGAACAUUAUAUGUACCGCCGCCGCCACCACCACCACCACACAUAUGUACAUGUAUGUACCCAUCCACCCGGCCGUACCACAAAGACGGCCCCAUGUACAGAGGUGGCAUCACAUGUCGUUUAUAGUUUGGCCUUUAAAUGGGCCUAUCGUGGGCAUUUUGAUAAGCCGUAGAUUGAGCGCGUGCUUUGUCUAGGCCCUGGGCCUCUCCUCCACCUCUUUGCCCCCUGUGCGUCCCUCGAUGCGGGACAGGUGUGUGUGUUGUGUGUAAACUUUCGGAAUUCCAGAAAUUCUUGCGUCAAGUAGCCGCCCCGCAAGCCUUAUCAUUCAGACGAUCGUCCACUGGGAUCGCAGACCUUCGGGUAGGUGGUUGGGGGGACCCUGGUGGUGCGAUGAGUCGAGAUCUUGUCAAUGGAUUGAUUGGAUUGAUUAUAAGCGAUCAUAAUUACACCUGGCGCCUGCCUGCUGAAUUCAAGGAAUCGAUUGCCAAUCAAAAAAAAAGGUGCAAAAUCGCAGGCCAAAAUGACGCAGGCUUCAGUGAUAGCUCACAGACACUGCCUCUUGAUCGAAGCAAAAUCGAAUGCUUAACUUCCAGGCAUCCUCCUCAUAUCAUACCUCUUUUGGGGGGAGCUCCUAGCCAAUUCACUUCUAUCUACAGCACUUCUGUUGGAUUUUGUAGAAAGUUGAAGGGAAUUCCAUCAAUUCCAAACUACUUUAGACGAUUUCCAGGUAGCUGUAAUAAAACUUAUAUGACAUUUUCUAUGCCCACGAUCGCCGCCAGCUAAUUCCAGUUCCAAUUCCAAUUCCAUCUCCAGCUAGCUUUGGGGUCUGUCCAAUGGUCCCAUGUGGCAUUUGAUAUGCAUGUCAUACGACAUGCCACUCCUAUUCCUCACACUACCCGCCCCCCCCUCCCAACCACCAGCGAUCCUCAUCCAUAUAAAUAACAUGUAAGGCCUAUGGAAUUUCCUAUAAAUAAGUUCAUGACGAAUAUAACAAAAAUUCCCUAUCCAACCUAGGCCGCUAACCCCCCUUCCCCGUCACCAUCCCCCCUUACCUACCAUACACCCCUCCACUACGACAAUGCUAUGUUUUUGCUUUUUUGUGUGUGUUUUCGCUGUAAAUGACCUCGUUCACAUAAAGUUCAGAAAUUCCAUUUACAAACUUGUAAUUGAAAAAAUCCACACACUAGAGCGGGAUAGAGCGAGUGACUGGGCAGCUGGAGGGACAGAGAUGGGACGAGAGACAAAGUCAAACACGUUGGAAUUUGUUUUUUUUACCGUUCAAUGACGAAUUUUUGUAGAGUUCGAUGUGUGUUCGUGUGUGUGUGUGUGUGUGUGUGUUUACGAAAAAGAACGCCACUAGCUACACGCACACGCAAACACAUUCCAAAAAAGACACUUACGAAAGCCACAAAAAACAUUUUAUUGUUCGUAGAUUACAACAUAAAAAAUACAAAAAAUGUGGAAGAAGGCAGGGUAGAAGGAGCAGGCGAAUAGUAUGAAUGAGCAGGAGAAUGAGAUGAAUGAGAUGAAUGAGAAGAAUUGUAAGAAGUGGGCGCAGAAGUACAUACAUAUGUACAUACAUAUAGGAAAAAUGAGGAUUGGUAUAUGGCAAAAUAGCAGAAGAACGGAAUAUUAGUAGAAUAGUAGUAGACAAUCAAAUCCUCUUCCACGCAGCAAAAGUAGCUCACAGCACCGAGAUACAACAGCUACAGAUACAGAUACAGAUACUUUUCUUGCCGGCUUGGAUCGGUUCAAAAGAUGUAGAUGGAGAGAGGGGUGGGGUGGGGGUCUGCGGCAUGGGCUGGGGCUGGGGCUGGGGCAGGGGCCAGUGUCAGUUUGUUUGUGGAAUGCCGUUUUGUAAGUUUCUUAUGCAUGCGAGUCAAACAUCAUGGAAUGGAGCAGCAACGAGUACAUAGUUUGGUUCGUUUUAGUAUAAAAAAAACUUUCUAGCACACCGAUACGACACACAGCCACAGAUGCAGAUACAGCACACACACACGAACACACACAUACACGAACACUAACACCCGACGUACAACUUUUUCGAACUGCGCAGGCGCUGCCGCUGCGCUGCUUCUGCCGUAGCCGCUGCCUCUGCCUCUGCCGCAGCCGCUGUCGCUGCUCUGCCUUGGCCGCUGCCAAAGACGCAAGCAGGCAGGCAACGAAAGAUCGCGUAAAAGAAAAGACAAAUUUUCAUUCAGUAAAUUUAGCUGCAGCGCGAUGGUCGUGUUCGCUCCGCGUUGUACGCUUCGGAGCAGCCUGCAGCAAAGUAAAAAAGAAACUACUCUCGAACGGAUGUUAAAAGUAUUAAACAAAUAAAAUAGAGAGAUAGUGUGAAAAGUAAAUAUUAAAAUGCAACAAAGUAUACGGUAGAGGAAGAACAAUGGAGUCCCUCGAAGCUUGGAGACUGGUUCCCCUUGGACACGGCGGCCCCAGACAGACAGACAGCGGGGCUGGCUACGCCACACCGAAACUUGUGCGACCGCAUUCCAGAAAGUUCAAAUAACGAAAUGUUGAGGAGGAGCAAAGCGAAGCGGAGAGCCAGGCAAAGAGGAAAGUCUGCUGCGGCGGCGGCAUCGUGGAAAAAUUAAACUUAAACUCGACUCGUGUCCCUGUAGCUGUACUCGUAUGUGUGUGUGUGCUUUUUUUUUUUUUUUUUGUUUGUAUGAGUGUGUAGUCUGGAAUGCGGUUCCGUUCCUGUGCGAAGAAUUAAGCCAAAUAGAACUCACGUUUGCAAAAAGCAGCAAGAAAAAUUUCUCAAAAACUGGUUUUCAGCCAAAGACUUUGUGUCGUCGUUGGUUCCAUUGACAUCCCAGGAGCCGCUGCCGCUGCCCCUGCUGCUGCUGAUUCUAACCUCUAAGCCAGGGUUAGGCCACAUGGGUAAGCUCUUUGGAAUUUGCCAUCAUACACAUACACAUAUGUACGUAUACACACACUGCGAGAGAUACAGAGAAGCACAAGCAGAGGAUGUUACAAGAUCGACUUGGAAUCGUCUCCAUCUUCGGCUUGGAGCGAGGCCACAGCGAAGUAAAAUAUUUAUUGGCUGAAAUUGGAUGCUGCGCUUCUCUGUCUCUGCCCGUGUGUCAGUGUGUGUGUGGCGUCUAUUUAGAAAUUCAAAUUGAAAUUUUUCAAGAGUGAGUCAUAUGAACGAUCUCUUGCUCAAUCUGAGAGAGCGUGGGUUGAGCGGCAUUCCAGUUUUGCUGCUCUUUUGGUGGAUCCGAAUUUGAAUCCUAACCUUCAUGGAAAUGGGAACGCAGUACGGUCAUAUCACACAUAAAUUGAGCGCGCCUCUCUUGAAAAAGUUGCAUCACUCAGCAUAAAACGGAGACGCGAGGCAAAAACAACAAGAGUCAACCACCAGCAUAGAAUGCGGCUGCCAGACAGCCGCCGCAACAACAAAAAAAAACCAGAGCAGCAAAAUCAAGAAAAAGAACAGAGAGGGAAGAAGAAAAAACCAGUGGAAGAACCGUUUUGCAGUGCAAGGCAAGCAUGCUUGAAGGAGGAAGGCGAAGCAACAGGCGAGCAAAGACCAAGAAAAGAAGGGUAAAAGGGAGUGCAGCAAAUACACUCGAAGGGAAAAAGAGUAGAGGUAGCACUCUGAUCAAUUUUUUUUUUUUUUUUCAAAGCUAUGAAUAUCGUUUAUAGAAAUUUGAGAGUUACCCAUUGGAAUCAGAAUGAAAAUAGUGUAACAUAUCAAAGGAGAGUACAAACUCUUUUGGACUGGUGUACUUGCUUGUACGCCGACAGCGCGCACACAUACAGUUGCACAGUGAUCCCGUUUGUUUUCCAGCUUGCCUUCACCCUCUUCGUGCAGUAAAGAGUAAUGUCAGCGAAAAGGACAGCAACGCUGAAACUUGGAGUCUAUCGUCCGUGGACUCACGCACGCACGCCGCCAGACAGUUAUAAGCCGUCGAUGCGGCAGCGACGAUGCGAUCUCCUCUUUGACUUCAGUUUCGUUUCUUUUCUGAGGGAGGGGGAAUUUGCAUACAUGAAAGGGGGAAACAAAAAGUUGCUGACCGUUUUUGUCUAUUUUUUGUUUUAUUCCACAUCAUAAAUGUCAAUUAAAAAUGAUAUUUGUAUUAUCAAGUUCCGCAGGCCCUGCCCCGCAGACGACGAUUUCAUUCCAUAAAAAUGUGCUAUAAAAAACUAACGGUUAAUUCUACGGUCUGCUGAAGUUCGUGUGUGGCUGGUGGAAAAAAAGAG
rnacentral:sRNA from 1 species